CCUACGGGUGGCAGCAGUGGGGAAUAUUGGACAAUGGGCGAAAGCCUGAUCCAGCCAUGCCGCGUGUGUGAAGAAGGCCUUCGGGUUGUAAAGCACUUUCAGUGGGGAAGAAAGCCUUGGGGCUAAUACCCUCGAGGAAGGACAUCACCCACAGAAGAAGCACCGGCUAACUCCGUGCCAGCAGCCGCGGUAAUACGGAGGGUGCGAGCGUUAAUCGGAAUUACUGGGCGUAAAGCGCGCGUAGGCGGUCUGAUAAGCCGGUUGUGAAAGCCCCGGGCUCAACCUGGGAACGGCAUCCGGAACUGUCCGGCUAGAGUGCAGGAGAGGAAGGUAGAAUUCCCGGUGUAGCGGUGAAAUGCGUAGAGAUCGGGAGGAAUACCAGUGGCGAAGGCGGCCUUCUGGACUGACACUGACGCUGAGGUGCGAAAGCGUGGGUAGCAAACAGGAUUAGAUACCCUUGUAGUC
rnacentral:rRNA from 1 species